AUGCGAAAAAAGUCGGUUCCCAUUGCUACUUGGGGAGGGCUAAAUUUGGUCCAGGAUUGGUGGAAUGCGACGGUUCUUCGCCGUGGCCACAGGAGGAAGGCGGUCUCCUCGCUGCUCAUGCUAGUGGCACAUGAGGUUAGGAAAGAGAGAAAUGCUAGGGUUUUCUGCAACAAGGCAUCGAUGCCCUAUAUUGUCAUUGAUAACAUUAAAGGGGAGGUAAAGAAUUGUGUUCUCCGCAUGGCAAAAUAUUUGAGCUCAAUCAUGUCACGAGAGUAG
rnacentral:rRNA from 1 species